GAUGAACGCUGGCGGCGUGCCUAAUACAUGCAAGUCGAACGAAACUUCUUUAUCACCGAGUGCUUGCACUCACCGAUAAAGAGUUGAGUGGCGAACGGGUGAGUAACACGUGGGUAGCCUGCCCAAAAGAGGGGGAUAACACUUGGAAACAGGUGCUAAUACCGCAUAACCAUAGUUACCGCAUGGUAACUAUGUAAAAGGUGGCUAUACUACCGCUUUUGGAUGGGCCCGCGGCGCAUUAGCUAGUUGGUAGGGUAAAGGCUUACCAAGGCAAUGAUGCGUAGCCGAAUUGAGAGGUUGAUCGGCCACAUUGGGACUGAGACACGGCCCAAACUCCUACGGGAGGCAGCAGUAGGGAAUCUUCCACAAUGGGCGAAAGCCUGAUGGGGCAACGCCGCGUGGGUGAAGAAGGUCUUCGGAUCGUAAAACCCUGUUGUUAGAGAAGAAAGUGCGUGAGAGUAACUGUUCACGUUUCGACGGUAUCUAACCAGAAAGCCACGGCUAACUACGUG
rnacentral:rRNA from 1 species